UACGAAGGGGGCUAGCGUUGUUCGGAAUUACUGGGCGUAAAGCGCACGUAGGCGGAUUUGCCAGUCAGGGGUGAAAUCCCGGGGCUCAACCUCGGAACUGCCUCUGAUACAGCAAGUCUUGAGUCCGGAAGAGGUGGGUGGAAUUCCUAGUGUAGAGGUGAAAUUCGUAGAUAUUAGGAAGAACACCAGUGGCGAAGGCGGCCCACUGGUCCGGUACUGACGCUGAGGAGCGAAAGCAUGGGGAGCGAACAGG
rnacentral:rRNA from 1 species